UACGAAGGGGGCUAGCGUUGCUCGGAAUCACUGGGCGGAAAGCGCACGUAGGCGGAUUGCUAAGUCAGGGGUGAAAUCCUGGAGCUCAACUCCAGAACUGCCUUUGAUACUGGCGAUCUCGAGUCCGGGAGAGGUGAGUGGAACUGCGAGUGUAGAGGUGAAAUUCGUAGAUAUUCGCAAGAACACCAGUGGCGAAGGCGGCUCACUGGCCCGGUACUGACGCUGAGGUGCGAAAGCGUGGGGAGCAAACAGG
rnacentral:rRNA from 1 species